GAUGAAGAACGCAGCGAAAUGCGAUAAGUAAUGUGAAUUGCAGAAUUCAGUGAAUCAUCGAAUCUUUGAACGCACAUUGCGCCCGCGAGUAUUCUCGCGGGCAUGCCUGUCCGAGCGUCAUUGCUGCCCUCAAGCACGGCUUGUGUGUUGGGCCUCCGUCCUCCUCCCGGGGGACGGGCCCGAAAGGCAGCGGCGGCACCGCGUCCGGUCCUCGAGCGUAUGGGGCUUCGUCACCCGCUCUUGUAGGCCCGGCCGGCGCUUGCCGACACAUCAAUCUUUUUUCCAGGUUGACCUCGGAUCAGGUAGGGAUACCCGCUGAACUUAAGCAUAUCAAUAAGCGGAGGA
rnacentral:misc_RNA from 1 species